GCCAAAUAAGAUGGGCUGGAUCAAUAUUCUUAUAUUUCUCUGAUGCUUUUGAUUUGUUCUGUGGGUUACUUUUAUUUCCAUUUUUAAAAUGAAGUUCAAGAGUCUAGGUCCAGCAGACUGGAUUCUACUAUUUUUCUCAUUUUUUCCAUUCUCGUAAUAAUACUUUGUUCAUGGGGACAGCUUAGAGGAAGUUCCCACUUAAUGGAUAAAUAAAAUAGUGCAUUGGUCUUCAGUGACUGAUAAACUAUCAUUUUGGUGUUAUUCUCUGAUGCUAAUGGUGACCUGUACACUGCCUAAGUUUUGUGUAAUGUCAAAAUGCUGUUGUUUUCUUACAUGUGAUGUGCUGGUUAUCUCUGAUUUCGUUCAAGUUUUUUACAGACAGAAUUACUGAGCUAGUCCAGUGUAAAUAUUUGCACAUGCUUAGAUGGAAGAGAUUUUGUACACGCAGCAACGUUAUUGAACAACUUUAUCCUCUCUAUCAGAAGCGAAUUAGUCACAUCAUGGAGGAAUACAGUGAUGCAGUUCAGAGGGCUGCAAGACUUUCGGCUGCAAGGGAAACUUUCCUGACAGGAAAGAAAAAUCCGGUGAAUGUAGUGACACAGGAAGAUAUGAUGAUCUACACCCAGUGGUUAGUGUGUCACUUGCACUCUGUGAAGGGCAUUCACCAUUUUCUUCAGGUUCUCCAGCAUUUGCCUGUUUCUCGCAGAAUGAAUGUGGCUAGGGAGAAAUGUCCUGAUGUGGUCCAAGACAACUGGGACAUGUUAAGAAGUGCUCUUUACAAGAAUUCAGAUAUUUUUAACAUUAAUGUCUCUCUCUGCUCCAGAGUUAUACAAAAAAAUGAAUCCUGCUGCAAGGACGCUGGAUCCACUUUACCCCAGCACAGCACUGAAACAGAGGAGCUGAAACCUCAGCUCCAGCUUCUGCUUGCUCACUUUGACAUCAACUACAGCCUUAAGGAUCUGAAGAAUUCAGCUGAUGAGAUGGAGCUCUUUUUCCUGGUGGUAGAGCUGAAAAGGACAAAGUUUUGGAGAUGUUGUCCAGAAAUUUAG
rnacentral:lncRNA from 1 species